rnacentral:lncRNA from 1 species
AUUUUCCCAAAUUUUUACCUUCUUUUUUAUUUCCAGCUCUAAUCUUCACUUUCCCUUUCUUUUCUUUCCCUCAAUUUCAUUUUUUGCACAUCCAACAUAUCAAUGAUCCCUCUCAUCUUCAUACCAUAUAAUCAAUGGUGAUAAAGAAUGAUCGUGACCUUUUCAUUUAUGGAUGUAGCCUGGAGGAGUUAAGUUAUUUUGACAAUUUUAUUUUAUUUUUCUUCUCUAUUUUUUUGAUUUGUUUUUCUUUUCAUCCUCAUUAUUAUUUUAUUUGUAUAUAAUGAUUAGCCUUUCGUACUUCCUCUAUUGUUAGUAAAAAUAUUCUAAUAUGAUUUUGUGAUUUAAUGUUGCUUUGUGAUAUGCCCACCAGAUGCUUGUUGAAAUUUCCAACCGACAAAAGCCUUUUUUUUCUUAACAAAGCUUGACAAGUGAGAAAGAUGGGUUUAAGAAUUUAUUGCUCUCAGAGUGUUUAAGGAGUUCAUUACUUGGUGUCUUUAGAAGGACCCUGGAAAGAGGUAGACCAAUAGGUCGCUGUUGUUCCAUCGUUAUAUCUUUCAAUAUGGUUCUCUGAUCAAUAAUGGUGGCUGGAGCGAUCAGGUGCAUCGGUCUAAAUUUCGAGUAUUUGUUAUAUCUUUCAAUAUGAUUCUAUUUUCAACUUAUUUGGUAUGAUCCAGUUUCAAACAUGGAUAUGUUGCCUACAUCAAUAUUAGUAUUCCAGUCAAUAUUUCAAAUAUGCCCAGAAAAUAUGAAUGGUUUCUUUACUUUCAACAGACAACUAUUCGCAAAAGAUCAGUGUGUUCUAGAAUAAACAAAAUAUGAAUAUAAGCUAUAGAACAUACAUGCAAUACAAAAGUAAUAUAUAAACCGGUUAUGCAUUUGAUUUUGAUUUGAUAUUAUUUACUCAUUUGGAUGGCAAUACAAAGUGUAAUCAUCCUAUU